rnacentral:rRNA from 1 species
GUCCAGACUCCUACGGGAGGCAGCAGUGGGGAAUAUUGCACAAUGGGGGAAACCCUGAUGCAGCGACGCCGCGUGAGCGAUGAAGUAUUUCGGUAUGUAAAGCUCUAUCAGCAGGGAAGAAGAUGACGGUACCUGACUAAGAAGCCCCGGCUAACUACGUGCCAGCAGCCGCGGUAAUACGUAGGGGGCAAGCGUUAUCCGGAUUUACUGGGUGUAAAGGGAGCGUAGACGGCGAUGCAAGCCAGAUGUGAAAGCCCGGGGCUCAACCCCGGGACUGCAUUUGGAACUGUGUGGCUGGAGUGUCGGAGAGGCAGGCGGAAUUCCUAGUGUAGCGGUGAAAUGCGUAGAUAUUAGGAGGAACACCAGUGGCGAAGGCGGCUUGCUGGGCUUUUACUGACGCUGAGGCUCGAAAGCGUGGGGAGCAAACAGGAUUAGAUACCCCGGUACC